rnacentral:rRNA from 1 species
GAUGAACGCUGGCGGCGUGCUUAACACAUGCAAGUCGAACGGAAAGGCCCAAGCUUGCUUGGGUACUCGAGUGGCGAACGGGUGAGUAACACGUGGGUGCUCUGCCCUGCACUUCGGGAUAAGCCUGGGAAACUGGGUCUAUUCCCGGAUCGGACCACAUAUUGGAUGGUGUGGUGGAAAGUUUUUCGGUGUGGGAUGAGCUCGCGGCCUAUCAGCUUGUUGGUGGGGUAAUGGCCUACCAAGGCGUCGACGGGUAGCCGGCCUGAGAGGGUGUACGGCCACAUUGGAACUGAGAGACGGCCCAGAGUCCGACGGGAGGCAGCAGGGGGGAAUAUUGCACAAUGGGCGCAAGCCUGAGGCAGCGACGCCGCGUGGGGGAUGACGGCCUUCGGGUUGUAAACUCCUCUCGCUAGGGACGAAGCGUUUUUGUGACGGUACCUGGAGAAGAAGCACCGGCUAACUACGUG